ensembl:snRNA
UCAAGGUAUGAAAGGAGGGAAGGUUAGCAUUCCCCUGGAUGAGGAUGGAAGAGGCCCUCGGGCGUGCCAACAGCAGACCGUUAAGGCACUGCCACCUACUUCUCCGCAGCUAACGUCCUUUCACU